rnacentral:ncRNA from 1 species
GGGCAGAUGAAGUGGACGUGGGUGUCGAUGGCGCCGGCCGUCAGGAUCUUGCCGUUGCCGGCGAUGAUCUCGGUCUCGGGUCCGAUGACCAGGUCGGGGUGGACGCCGUCCAUGGUGUCGGGGUUGCCGGCCUUGCCCA